rnacentral:tRNA from 1 species
GCACGCGUGAUCUAAUGCGGAUAAGGUCCUGGCCUUCGAAGCCAAUCAAUGCAGGUUCGAAUCCUGUCGCGUGUACCA